GACAUCACCGGACAGACCCUCCGUGCGGCUUCGGGCUAUCUCUGGGCAUGUCUACCACAGAAUUUCAUCGUGUGUCUGUCUGUCAGAAUAAGAUUUUAAGAAGAGUCUGCCAUCACGUGACUUGUGGUAAUUUCCACCUAGAUAUCGAUCUUACCGUUUGCUUAUACAUUGAUUAAGAGUUUCGUAACGUGUGAACUAUUGGUUGCGAAGAAUAUCGAUCCGUCUCCGCGACCUGUUGGACUGAUACAGGCGACAAUAUGUGUACACGACAGUGGUCCUCCUGAACACACGGUCAUUGACUGUAGUUAUGGCGUGUCUCAUCACCGGGGAGGUACAUCCUCGCGUAUUGUUUGCAACUGACGGUGAUCUUAUCUCCCUUGUUAGUGUCGUGUUGAAAACAAUAGAGCUUGUCUAAUUAUUGAUUUUCUGUUGGAUGACAGAUGAUGAAUUUGAGAAUGGCGAGCAAAGUAUCGGAAUAAGACGCUUGGUGUCCAUUUUCGAAAUAUAUUACGUUGACUAAUAUAUUCAGAUCAGGAAAAUACUCCACUGUUUUGAAAAUCAUGUGUGGACUUUUGCAGAGUUAACUGUUCGGGUAAAUAGAACCGGGAUUCACCAAUACUAGAUCACACACCGACGAAGCUGGGUCUGAGAUAACUACCUUUGUGUGUUUCUUAAUGUGCUAUUAGCAAAGACGAUACUCAAUCACAAAUCGAUCAGAUUAGAUUGCAAGAAAUACAAAUUAAUUAUGCCAUUUGUCUCUGUUGAGCCUGUUUGGCGUUUAGCAGCCAACAAUUACAUAACUCGUACUUCAAUACUUGGACAUCGAUUGUGUUAGUCGUCGCGGAGGCUUCCACCGUUUCAGCAGCGUCGGUCACUCCUCCAUCUCCGACUGAAGCCUGCGUCGUAAGCAGCCAUAACCAGCCUUGCACAACAGUCAACACUCCAGCUACUGUUACAUCGGAGACUAUGACCCAGCAACCAUAUUCCCAUAUGAUUCAUGAAUUCUUCUCCCAAUAACCGAUAAAGGCCAGCACUAUCUUUCUUCAACCGUGUGCUGAUUGCGUCACCAGCUAGCAUAAGGACAGAGGCGGCUCGGCAGGGUCAACUGGAAGGUUGGGGGCAAUGUGAUUAGACUAGCAUACGCUUACUGUCCAUCGUGUACGCUCGGAGGACGACAUCCAAGACAUAGGAUGACUUGUUAUGUUUACAAAGGGAAUACGGACGUGGAAGAAAACAAAUGAUUGCAUUCACAUCGCCGUUCAUUGCCCUCCUGUGUGUUCUACUCUCGGACCUGUGCAGGGUGAAUAGCCUCGGUUGUUUCACAUGUACUUCCUUGAACGGAAGUAACCCCUACUGUCGUGACCCCUUCAACCCCGUCCACGUCAACUACGAGACCAAAUGCAAGCAAGGCAUGGACGGUAGAGUCGGUACAUUUCCGGCAAAAUACUGCACCAAGAUUAAAGGAGUGAGAGUUGACACCCAGUCCGAGAUGUUAGUCCGGUCAUGUGGCAUGGAGUCGAUGCUCAACACAUGUGGAAUGUUCCGGUUCAAGGAACACGACUACCACGGCUGCCUAAUGUCGUGUAAGGCAAACGCUUGCAACGAGGCUAGUGUACUACGUCAUGUGUCGUCAUGCAUAUUUGUGUUCAUUUUAUCAGUUUUAGUUCUGUACACAAACAGUUGACCUUGACCUUUUGACCCACAAGAAGACAUAUCAUCAAUGACGUCACCGUUCCCCUGGUCACCCCUACCCCUCUCUAUAUGAUGUCCCAGACACAGUUGGCCAUAGACUGAACACUUGUCUAUUAGAGGCCCAGACAGGGUGUGUCGAUAGACCCAGACAGGGUACCGGUGUGUCGAUGGACGUGAAGACAUUAGGCAGAUUGUACAUACAAUGAGGAUAAGACAGCACAUGUCUCAGAGACAGAACUUUAAUAGACAGUGUGUGGACAGAGCAAAGGAGAUUGUGUUUCUUUUUUUAAGUCGUAUGAAGCUGACACUCAUUUGACUGUUGAUUCAAUCUUGUCGAGACAAAUGCUUACAGAGAUAUGUUAGCAUCCAAUUAUUAUCACCUGGUCUGUGAACGUCUGUCAGAUACAGAUGCGUACACAUGUGUAUAUCUUCUUUAUUUCAUGUUACGGUUGCAUUAGACUUAUGAAGACAUGCAUUUAUGUAAAUCUUAUCUCAUUAUCUCGACGUCAGAUGGCGACUCAUAUUUCUUGACGUUUCUUGACAUUUGAGAAGAAUGCGGCCCUCUUAGGCCUAGAGGGGAAGACGACGUUUAUUCAGCGUUAGAGUGAAGACAUCGGCGUUUACGCAGGCGGGGUAAGCCGUUGCCUGGUACAGUCGACGUUAAAUCGACUCACAUUUACUCCACGUUAGAGGGGGGAUUCAAGGCUCGUUCCCUUGACGUUAUAGGGGGUAUUCGAGGCUAGUUUCCUUGACGUUAUAGGGGGUAUUCGAGACUCGUUCUCUUGACGUUAUAGGGGGACGUCAACUCUCGUUCCCUUGACGUUAUAGGGGGAAUUCGAGUCCUGUACCCUUGACGUAAUAGGGAGAAUUUGAGUCUCAUUCUCUUGUCGUUAAAGAGGGAAUUUGAGUCUCGUUCUCUUGACGUUUGAGAGGGAUUUCGAGGCUCGUUCUCUUGACGUUAUAGGGGGAAUUCAAGUCCCGUUCCCUUGACGUUAUAGGGGGAAUUCGAAUCUCAUUCUCUUGACGUUAUAGGGGGAAUUCAAGUCCCGUUCUCUUGUCGUUAAAGAGGGAAUUUGAGUCUCGUUCUCUUGACGUUUGAGAGGGAUUUCGAGGCUCGUUCUCUUGACGUUAUAGGGGGGAGGUCAACUCUCGUUCUCUUGACGUUAUAGAGGGAAGUCACUCUUGUUCCCUUGACGCUGUAGGAGGGGAAAUCGACUCUCGUUUUCUUGAAGUUACAUGGGUAAGUCGACGUUAGAUGAAUAACGCAAGGAUCGUGACAACGAGAGCUAAUCUGUUCAACCUCUCAUCUCCCUUUCCCCGUGUAUAAAAUAACACCGUUACAUCGAAUGUUGUUUGGUUCAGUGUUGUUUAUCGAAUCAAUGUGGAGAUUUAAUAUUAAUAUGUCACUGGCAUAUAUACGACAAUCACGUGCACUGGACUAUCAUCAUGUACAAUUCUACCAUGCCACUUUGGAAUCCUGCGUUCUGAUUGGUCCGCCAGAGGUAAAGAAUCUACAUUAGACCAUGAUCCCGUUGAUGACGGCUUGUUGCAAGCCUCCCUGUUUGGCAAAUUCUUACUUCUUUAACGUUGCGAAAUAAUGUGUUGUGGUUCGUGUUAAUAUUUGCAGUACGUGUUAAUAAUAUUUCAGGCGGACAGCUUGAAGAGCAAAUACUAAGAAAUUGUAUUGUAACAUUGAGUAGCAUUAACUUGGCUUGACCUUUGGCGCUACUCUGCUUAGACUUCCCACUCGUAGUACUUAUGACGUCAUAAUAGUGGUGUGUACUUUACAACGGUGGCUUUACAUUCUUUUUGAAGUGGUUCUCUUAUUGUGGUGCAAACUAUUGUUCUGGUACACAAAGCAGACUUUAUGCAGAUUAAAACCGAUCUUCAAAAUUUACCCUUUCAACCUACCGAAAAUACUAGGCUUAACCAAUGACACAUGACUAAUGAUUUCAGUUAAAGCCAAGAACACGUAUGUUUCGGCAUUGUGUUAUGGUACAGGGGAGAUAAACCUUGUGCGUUUUCAAUUCAGAGGUUUCGAACUAUGAUUCGAUACCUGCAAAUAUUUCAAAUAUUUCUACGUUUGAACCUCUACCUAAAAAAAACAGUCCAGGUCUAUCUCCUAAUGUAUAUGUAUGGUUUUUUGUAUAAAAUGAAUCAAGCAAUUUUGAAUUUAAUUUGUUUCUGAUACUUGCUAUCAUUGCAGAAGACGCAGGUAGAUAAUUUUAUGAAAAUAAAUUUAUACUAGGUGACAAAGCUGCCGACCAAAACAGCACAUUUUUUUUCUUUUCUCAUUUCAAGGCUGAAAGCAAGGAACAAAUAGAAAGUGUAGUAAGUUUAUUUCUUGUUUGGUAUACCAUGCCUUGUAGUCAUUUUCAUGUACUUUUUUAAUUUGAGGAUAUUAUUUGAGUACAUCUGUUCUAAAGAAACUACAAAAGCUGUACCUGUUGAACAUGUUGAGCAUACAUAAGCUCAUGUCACCUCUCGUUUUGAGGAACUAUUUUAUUCCGCGAUACAACUGGUUGUUGUAUGACUGUCAGUGUAAACGUUCUAUCCUAAAUAUAAUUGUGUAUAGAUCAAGGUCUACCUCCUUGAGGUAAAACAAGUGAUAUAAAAAAUUAUAUGAAUCGCAAGCUCCGACGUUCAUAGAGUUUGGCCCUCACUCUAUGAAGAUGCAUACUCCAAUGAACUCACACAAAAUGAUUCGCUCGUCACGCCGA